rnacentral:lncRNA from 1 species
GCCUAGGGAAAGAAACCUCUGAGAGGGCUGAGAUUCCUGAACCCAGAAGAUGCAAGCCUCAUAAAGAAGCAAGAGUCCAGUGUAGGGCCUAAGAGGUAGCUCAACGGGAGAAUGUGCCUAAGGGCAGCCAUCCUCACCUUAACCCUACCCUCUCUGUGUAGACUGGAAAAAAUUAGUGAGAGGGGCUGAGUACUCAAAGGUGUGGGACAAGGAAGUGCUGAGUUUGGGUCAAUGUUCUAAAAAGGGCCUGGAGUUAGCAUAAGAGGAUGUAGAAUGUGUGGAUGGCCCCAUCCAAGGUCAUGUCCCCUUCUCAGGACAACCCGUAUCCAAUGGCUGAUCAAUAUGGAGACAAAAAGACCCAGCCCUCUUACUCAAACUUGGGACAAUUCUGAUGGGUCAUCCCAGCUUCAGAUGGGGACACAUUGGCAGCUAAGGCCUCUGUUGAGACCACAUCACAAUUUAACUUCUUCCUCUGUUCAGUCCUCCUUCCUUCCCUUCUUCUUCAUCGAUGUGCCACCCAAGAGGGCUCCCUAACAAACUUUCUGCAUGCUAAUCUCCAUCUGAGUCUGCUUUCUGGGGAACACAACCUGCAACAGUCUUUCAGCCUGCUUUGGGAAAGGAAGACUUUGUAAGUCAGGUUAAGAGCCUGGAUGUUAGUCUCAGGACAAGGUGGAGUCAUUGAAGGGUUUUAAGAAGGAGGUGAUUUGACCAGCUGUGGAUAUUAGAUCCCCUGGCUACAGUGUGGAAAGUGGACCCAAGAGGGCUUGACUGGAGGCAGGGACAUCAUAAAUGUGGCUAUUGAAUUACACAGACAAAAGAUGAUAAUUCCAUGAACUUGGAGAUGUGACAAUAGAGAUGGAAAUAAGCUGACAAAUUGUAGUAAUAUUUACGAAGUUCAGUCAAAAGGACUAAUUGAUGAUAUGUGGGUUUGAAGGAGUGGGAAGAGUCAGAAAUGAUGUCCAGGUUUCUGGAUUGAGCAAUUAGUGAUGCCAUCACCGACUCCAAGUUACAGCUCUUAAAAAAGAAGACACUUCCUACUCCCUACUGCACCUGAGCUGCACUCUAAAUUUGGUCAAUGAAAUGUAAACUGAAAUGUCUUAUGGAACUUUCUGCCAUAUCUGGAAGUGGCCCUUCUAUCUUGUCUCUUCUUUUGGCCUGCAACUAAGAUGCCAGAAGUUGCAGCUGCUGUCUUGAACCAAAAGGUACCCUGAAGAUGGAAGCCAUGUGCCAACAUGAUGGACAGAAACAUUGUAGCUUGAGACUCUCAUGUUCUCAGAGAACUGCCAGGCCAACCCAGGAACGCCGACCUCCAGACUUCUUUUACCAGAGAAAUACAUUUCCGUAUUUUUGAGCCAACUUUGUUUUAGGGGUUUGGUUAAAUGCUGCCAAACUAAUCCUAAUUAAUACAUUUGUCGAGCUGAUGAUUUUAAACUACCUUAAUAAGGCCAAUUAUUCAAUCUCAGAGUCUUGUAUAACAAUCUUUAACAGCAUUUAUCCUUUGGGACUUUUUAUAUGGUUUUAACAGGAGACAUGCUUUGUCCACAACGAGAGGAAAGGGAAACCCACAUAUAUUGGAUACCCAUAAUGAAUUAACUUCUUCCACAUACAUGAAUUUAUUUAAACAUCACACCUGGGACGGUGGGUAUUAUUUGCCACAUUUUCAAAUAAGCAAACUUAGGCUACAGAUGUUUACUUGGCUUGCCCUCAGUCACCGUGUAAGAAAGCUGUGGAGGUGGAAUUUGAACCUGUGUCUGUUUGGCCCCAGAGCCCAUGCCCUUCCCAUGACCCCUCACUGCACACAACCAACCACAUAAACUCAUUCUCAAAGGCCCAAGAUUGGUUUCCUCAUCACGUGGCUAAAGAGGUAUCAGCAUAGUUAUUUCCUUUGGCAUAGUCUACCUUUACUUUUUCAUUUUCUGGCACUUUGAAAACUUGGGGUCCAUUGCUUUAAAUCCAUCUUUAUUUCUCACAGGCCUUGUUUUCAAAUCACAGAUUUCUAUUCACAAGGUGACAGCGGCUCCUAAAUAUCUCCCUCAACCACUCUGACUUGCUAGAGCCUGUCGUUCCAGUACCAAUAAAAUGCAAGUGACUCAAAUUGAGAUUACCAACCUCUCAUCAGACCAGCUGGAGAGAGUGCAUGGUCUGCCUUGGCCACACCCAGUUCUCUUUCCCAGAGUUUUUCUCAUUUACUAAAUAUGAUCUCAAGGCUGCUCCACCUUCUGUACUCUCUAUCUCAGUGAACGUCAUCACCGUCCAUCCUGUUGCUUAAACCAGAAUCCUCUGAAUCAUUCUUGAUACCUCCCUCUCCAUCAUCCACCACAUACAGGAAACAUUAAGCCUCCUUUUCCUUAUCUUUUAUGUGUAACAUUAAUCCAUCCCCUAUUUCAGGCCAGUACUCGCUUAUUGAUAUUAUUGCUAAUUUUUCUCCUUGCCUCCAGCCAAUUCUACACUUCAAAACACAAAUUUUAUGUCAUUCCUCUUUUUUUUUUUCUGGGAAAGAUUCACCGUGAGCUAACAUCUGCUGCCAAUCUUCCUCUUUUUUUUUUUUAAGUCCCCAACACCCCAGCACGCAGUUGUAUAUUUAAGUUGUAAGUCUUUCUAGUUCCUCUGUGUGAGCCGCUGCCACAGCAUGGCUACUGACAGACAAGUGGUGUGGAUCUCUGCCUGGGAACCAAAGCCAGGCCGCCAAAGCAGAGUGUGCCAAAUUUUAACCACUAGGCCAUCAGGACUAGCUCUUGUUCCUCUUUUUUUUUUUUUUUUUUCAAGAUUUUAUUUUUCCUUUUUCUCCCCAAAGCUCCCCUGGUACACAGCUGUAUAUUUUUAGUUGUGGCUCCUUCUAGUUGUGGCAUGUGGGACGCCGCCUCGGCAUGGCUUGACGAGUGGUACCAUGUCUGCGCCCAGGAUCCGAACUGGUAAAAUCCUGGGCCACCGAAGCAGAGCGCACAAACUUAACCACUCCGCCAUGGGGCUGGUCCCUCAUUCCUCUUUUUAUUUUAAUUUUUAUUGAAGUAUAACUUAAUAAAGGUAUUAACUUAGUAAAGUGCCCAAAUCUUAAAUAUAUGACUUGAUAUGUUUUUAAAUAUGUAUACCAGAUCAAGACAGAGAAUAUUCUGGCACUCCAGAAGGCUCUCUCAUGCCCUCAUUUGAGUCAUACUCCACCCCCAAGGUAACUACUAUUCUGAAUUCUGUCACCACAAAUUAGUUUUGCCUGUUUUAAAAACUCGUAGAAGUGGAAUCAUACAAUAGGUUCUUUUUUGUGUAUGACUUUUUCACUCAAUGUCUAUGAUAUUCAUUCAGUAUGUGGCACUCCUCUUUAUUGCUAUGUAGUAUUUCAUUCUGUGAAUACAUCUCAAUUUAUUUACCCUUUUCACUGUUGAUGGAUGUUUGAAUCAUUUAUAGGUUUUAGAUAUUAUGAAUAAAACUGUUAUGAACAUUUUUGCCUAUAUCUUCUGGUUGACACAAGCACACAUUUCUGUUGGUACAUAACCUAGAGCAGAAUUGCUGGGUCAGAGAGCAUUAGUAGGUAUUAUUAUUAUGUUGUGUUGUAUUGUAUUAGGUAGGUAUUCGUAGGUAUUGUAUUAUAGGUAGGUCUUAUAAGAAUUCCAGUUAUUCCACAUCCUCAUCAACUCUUGGUAUUGUCUAUCUUUUUAAUUUUAACCAUUCUGGUGGCUUUAAAAAUCUUUCUAUGACACCUCACCUAGAUAAAGUCCAAACUCCAUAACAUGAUAGACAGUCCUUCAUAACCUGAAUUCUACUUAUCCAUUUAGCCUUAUCUCUAAUCUCUGCCCACCUUGAACUUGAAGCUGUAUACCUAAUAAAUUACUUGUGGAUCCUUGAGUGCUCUUUGUUUGGUUUUGUUCUGCUUCGCUUCUGGUCUCUGAACUUCCUCUUCUCCUGUGCCUUCUUUUCAUUUGGAUAAGUCUUUCUCAUCCACUGAGCCUCAGCUUAAACAAUACCUUCUAAACAUUCCCAACCUCAAGAUUCAGUUAAAUGCCCUUCAGUGUGCACCUAGAAUUCCAAAUGUUUACUCUUUUCUUAAUAUGCAUCACAGUAGAUUGUAAUUGCCUGUUGACUUGUCCAUUUUUCCUGGGACAGGGACUGUAUCUUGUUC